UCAGAGCUACUGAGAGACUUGCAGUGGCCAACACCAAGCUCUUUUUGGAGCGCCACAGAAGCAGAUCUGCAGUCCCAAGCAGCGCUGUCAGCGGAGUUCUGGCUGCAAGUCCACUUCUGGAUUCACCUGGCCUGGGACAUGUUGGCGUCAGUUUGGGACUGAGCAGAAGUCUGGCUCUCAGAACACCACCCAGACACCUGUGGUAAAGCCCAAGACUUCUGCUCAUCAGGACAUCCUGUAAGGGACCAUUCAGAUGGAUGGAACAAAUUGCUUCCUUUCCUUAAUUUCGACAUCCACGGCCUAGUAGCCAGUUUCCUUAAUGGUGGCCUUCAAGGUUUGGUAGCAAAGACUCCAAGAUCAGCUCUAACCCAUCCCUACAUUGUUCAGCGACAAUGAUCCUAGUGGUGAAGGCAGCGAAAAUGCUACUUAAAAUUGGAGAGGUGGUGCUGCAUUGGUCCCCUUGUUGUACGAAAGGAAUCGCUGGAGCUUUGGGGACAAGAAGUGCCAACGGCCACGACAACUGUACACAGGCAACAGUAUCGGAGGAACCGAGAUGCUGUGACCCCCAUCCAUACAUCCAGUACAUCCAUGACAUCAUUGUGUGGGGGGACACAGCAGAAGAAGUUUUCGAGAAAGGACAGAAGAUCAUCCAGAUUCUCCUCGAGGCCUGUUUUGCCAUCAAGAAGAGUAAGGUCAAGGGCCCUGCCCAAGAGAUCCAGUUCCUAGGGCUGAAAUGGCAAAUGGACACCACCAGAUACCAACAGACGUCAUCAACAAGAUUGUAGCCAUGGCUCCACCCACAAACAAGAAAGAAACCCAAGCUUUUCUGGGAGCCAUUGGCUUCUGGAGGAUGCACAUCCCAGAGUACAGCCAGAUGGUGAGCCCUCUUUACUUUGUGACCCGUGAAAAGAACAAUUUCCAGUGGGGUCCUGAACAACAACAAGCUUUCAGGCAGAUCAAGCAAGAGAUUGCACAUGCCGUGGCUGUUGGAGCAGUCAGGACAGGACCAGAGGUAAAGAAUGUGCUCUACUCUGCAGCUGGAGAUAAAGGUCCCUCCUGGAGCCUCUGGCCAAAGGUGCCUGGUGAGACGUGAGGGCGACCACUGGGUUUCUGGAGCCGAAGCUACAGAGGUUCUGAGGCCAAUUCCACCCCUGUGGAGAAGGAAAUCUUAGCAGCCUAUGAAGGCAUACGAGCAGCUUCAGAGCUUUCAGAUUCAGCAAUGUCCUCACUCCUGACAGACCAGGGUCCCUUUCCAGAGUAAUGGAGGAGCACCGUGAUUUUUUAAUCCAAAAUUCCCGGAUUUGAAUGAAAUGCUCUGGAAAGGCUCUGGAAAUCAUUGGGUGUUCACAAUCAUCAAUGAAGAUGUUCACCAGGAAUUGCUGAUCACUGGCCUCCAGCUGGAUGUUGCACUCCUGAUCACCACCCCGGCCAGCAGAUUUCAACCAGCCUGCUGUCUGCUCAUCCAGCCCAUACUUCAUGGGCUUCUCUGUGAGGGAGCCCUGUCUGUGUCCACUAGUACACACAUUCAUUUGGAUUUUAAACAAUCAAACAGAAGUGAGUGUUUUAACAGCAGAAUUAUUUUUCAAAGGGAAAUAGAAGGGUAUGGCUUUGAUGGAACGAGUGCCUUCAAGCUCCAUUGGCAGGCACUGUUUGAAAACUGUUUGGGUGAUUUUUGAUAAGAAAUGGAAGAUACAAUGGCAGGAAGCCAUUCAGCAAUCCCUGACAAGGGAGGUCCACUGUCAAUUGCUGGGAGGGCCCCCACCUGUUUCUUUUAAUGGUGCUCCCAAAUCCCACCCCUUGGGCCUCCCAUCCCAUCCUUUUUGGUCCCCUCAGGCAUCUCCUCCCCAGGAUCUGCUCUGUGUCCUACCCAGGGUCCCCAGACAUCCUCCCACU